CAGGCCUAACACAUGCAAGUCGAACGAUGCUUUCGGGCAUAGUGGCGCACGGGUGCGUAACGCGUGGGAAUCUGCCCCUUGGUUCGGAAUAACAGUUAGAAAUGACUGCUAAUACCGGAUAACGACGUAAGUCCAAAGAUUUAUCGCCGAGGGAUGAGCCCGCGUAGGAUUAGCUAGUUGGUGUGGUAAAGGCGCACCAAGGCGACGAUCCUUAGCUGGUCUGAGAGGAUGAUCAGCCACACUGGGACUGAGACACGGCCCAGACUCCUACGGGAGGCAGCAGUGGGGAAUAUUGGACAAUGGGCGCAAGCCUGAUCCAGCAAUGCCGCGUGAGUGAUGAAGGCCUUAGGGUUGUAAAGCUCUUUUACCCGGGAAGAUAAUGACUGUACCGGGAGAAUAAGCCCCGGCUAACUCCGUGCCAGCAGCCGCGGUAAU
rnacentral:rRNA from 1 species